rnacentral:rRNA from 1 species
GAUCGGGCUGAAUGGUCUGCCUUCGGGUAUGCACUGUUUGGCUGGAUCUUUCCUUCUGGCUAGCCAGCGUGUUCUUUACUGAAUGCGCUGGGGAUCCAGGACUUUUACUUUGAAAAAAUUAGAGUGUUUAAAGCAGGCUCACGCUUGAAUACAUUAGCAUGGAAUAACGAAAUAGGACGU